UCCGAUCCUCUUCUCCCAAGCAUCCGCCUCCUCCACAGCGGUCCACGAUCACCUCCGGCAUCCGUCAGCAGUCCGCGAUCAGCGCCUCCCAGCCGUUCAAUCCACAUCUCGGCAACCUCCCAGCAGUCCUCGAUCAGCCCCGAUCCCGUGAAGCGCCGCAGCAGCCAAGAUCACCGCCCAGCCGUCCGCCUCCUCCAUCGCGUCUGUUCUAGGCACCGGAUCCGGCCGAGAUCAGCUCCUCCAACGCUUCAGCCUCACGCGCCCGAGAUCCAGCCGUUUGCCUCUAAAGCAUUGAUCUCCAGCGCAUUCCGAAGAUCCUUGGAGGGAGAGAUUAUAAAAGGCUCGGAUCGGAGGAAGAACGUGAGCUCUCAUCGACGAAAACAGAGGAGCCGGCCCCUUGGUUUCAAACGAAAAAAAAAAGAGAAAGGGAAACAGGGGAUGCCCUGUUUCCGAAAAUAAAAAGAAGAAAAAAAAAAUAGAGAGGGAGAAAAGGG
rnacentral:lncRNA from 1 species